AAGACGCACGGCUGAACCCAAAGUCCGGAGGUGGGGAGACACAGGCUGGCCCCCAAAUUUUAAGGCAGCUUUCAGCUUUGAUGACUUUCGAAGUGUAAACACUCCAAACUCAAACACAGCAUUUGACAUUUUAUUUAUUUAACUUUCUUUUACACUUAUUCAGCGUUGUCAAGUUUGACUACAAUACGUUUAAUGUUUCGUUUAAGUCCCUCUGAGUGAAGACGGCAAAUAUUGAUCAAACAAGUCACAUGACCUAAGGCUCGGCUACAAGAAAGAAAAAGAAUUAAAGUCAGUGGUGCGGUUGACCCCACAGCGACACAGAGUGAAGUCAAUAUCAUUAUCCCCACUGGACAAGAUCAGAGAGGGGAAAUGUCUUUGCCAACAUCACACGGUGAGCGACGCAACUCGGAUUCAGUCCCAGACCUGGCUGAUUAGAACGCCUGUGCUCAGAACCUCUAGACGAGAUACUGAGCUCCCGACGUUAAAUGGAACUGCGAGUCAGAGGAGAGAGAAGGAACUGAAAGUCUUCAUGAAAGAGAAAUCCUCUGUUUCUGGGUCCCAAAAAUUUGAGUUUGAUGCUGACAGGUAGAAAGGGAGGGAAAAGCACAGACGAUGGAGGGAACAGAAUGAUCGAACAUGUAGAGGCAAGCGUUAAAGUCUCAGCACAUGGGUGGGGAGGAGCAAGUCAAACGCUUGGCUUCCCAGGAAAGUGAAGACCAGAUUCCAGGCUGAGGAGUCCAUGUUCAAUGCCAUAGGCAAUAGGGAGGCACUGAAGGUUUUAGAGCAGGAGAGUGACUUCAAAGCAAACUGCCGUACUAGUUAGCCAUAACAUGAACGGCGUGCUAAGCAAAGAACAGCCCAUUUAAGAGACGAGAGACCAGGCCAUCCCAGCUGGGCGUUUAGUCGGAGAAAUUGGAGAGAGAAGCCAAGAAAAAGAUAAUUCCCCGGUGUUGGUGAAUUUCAUCAAAAGCCACACUCGGAAUCCUUCCUUCCUCAGCUCUAUGGGGAGGACAGGAAAAGCAUCCCCUCGGGGGCUGCGGAACUUGCUGGAAACCCUUCGACACUCAAAUUCAGAGGCCACACUUCUUUUGAGGCUGCAAAUCUUGGCCCUUGUAAGGCUCCUAAGCGCCCAGCACUUGGACCUCACGGUGCCCAGUGGACAAAUCAGGUCUCAUCUUAGCCACGUAAAUAGAAAGUCAGCUUCGUCUUGUGACACAGACACUAUGACUCGCUUUUGUAUUCCUCCGUGUCAGCCCUGAUAAUGCGUCAGAGCUAAUUCAGCAGGCAAUGUGAAAAUGCUGACAGCAGAACGCCAAGAAGACAAACGAUUAAUGGCUGCCCCCCGAACAGAGAAGUUAAUUACUGGCAUCUAAAAUAUCUGAGGGGAAGAUGUUACACACCCACAUCACCAAUUAACCUCACCCCUAAGAAAUCGCCAUCAAUGCAAUUAAUAGAAAAUGACUAUCAUCCUAAUUACAAGCUCUAUCCCAGAGGCCAGUGUUAGGCAAGGAAACUUCUUUAUUAACCUCUUCCUGAUUCGUUU
rnacentral:lncRNA from 1 species